AGCGUGCUCAUCGCGGCGGCGGCGGCGGGGAUACUGCGACACGAGUACAGUCCACAAAAUGCCACAGACGGCAUACACAAUCCCCCACCCGGUUAGGCAACCGCCACCAAGCACGACACGCUCACAUCACAUCACAGAGCGCUCAAAGCACAGGCGGCCAAGUCGGCUUGCAGAAAGGAUGGCCGCCGCGGUCGCCUUGGCAAGCCCUCUCCGGCGGCUCCUCCACUUCCCUUGCCCGCGCCGCGCUAUCCCCGCACCACUCCGCUUCUUCGCGCGAGGGCGGUGUGACGUGGCCCUCGCCGUCUCGGCGGCCGCAGUCGGAGAUUCGUCUGCUAAGGGGGGCGUGCACAGGCAUGUAAUCGAGGAAGUCAUGGACAUUCUGGAUAUGGCACAAAGGGCUUCCCAACGAAGAGAUGUCUUCCACACCAGUUUUCUUACGCCACCUAUCAUAGCGGAGGCUAUGCUAGCAAUUGAAAAGUUAGCUGAUAUCAAAGCAGUAGCUCAGGGGGGCUAUCCACAGGCUGAGCGGUGCCGAAUUUCAGCUGGGCAUCCAGACUCUAUGAGAAGUGACCCAGAUGUAGUUGCUGCUUUGAGCAUCUCCGGGAAUUUCCGAUUGGAACCCUGUUCUCAUGGUGACUUUCUCGGUGCUAUUCUUGGGGCAGGAAUUACAAGGGAGAAAGUUGGAGAUAUACUUUUACAGGGGGAAAGAGGUGCUCAGGUCCUUGUUGAUCCAGAGCUUGUUGACUAUCUGACUUCCACACUAGAAAAGGUGGGGAAAGUUGGUGUUUCAUGCACCCAGAUUCCCUUGCUUGCUAUAGAGUAUGAGCCACCAAGGACCAAAUCUUUUAAAACUGUAGAAUCAUCACUUCGGGUUGAUGCUGUGGCCAGUGCAGGAUUUAAAAUAUCACGCACAAAGCUUGGUAGCAUGAUCAGUUCUGGAGAUGUUCGUGUGAAUUGGUCACUGGUUUCGAAAAGUGGAGCUACCCUCAAGGCUGGGGAUGUUGUUUCUGUCAGUGGGAUGGGGAGAUUAAAGAUUGGGGAAAUCGUGACUACGAAGAAAGGCAAAUAUGUCAUUCAGUUGAUUCAAUAUUUGUAGGCCCGUGACUGAUCAAUUGUUCUCUGAAGAAUACCUGACUGGUGAGUUUGCAAAGUGCUCAGUUGCUUACACAAGCAUAAGGGCUGCAGCUGCCUGCAAAUAUUUACGAUGAAACUGAUCCAUAAUAUUUAGAAGGGAAAAGGACAAGUGGACAGUACAUGUAAAGUAUAUGUGACAGCUUAUCUUUAAAGUCCAGAUCAAAUUGAGAAUGAAAUUUAGAAGGAUCAAAGUCUCUCUGUGAACUCCAACUCGUGUGAGGACUCGAUCUGCUUUAGGGCAAAAAGGUGAACAAAAAGUAUAUGUUUUGGAAACAAUGGAAAUGUGUUUCUUCUAUUCAUACUAAAGAGCGAUUCGCAAACAACAUCCUCAGCAAUUUUCUGUCAUCAGGAAACAUGUGACACGACUACGAUAUGGUAGGAAACCUUUUGCACUUGGGUAAUUGAUAACUAUGGGUCGUAACUUCAACUCGUUUUUUUCAAAGACUUCGCAAAGGGUUGUAUUCGUUGUACCGAAUCUUCCGUUCCAACUUCCAAGUUGCAAAUUUACCUUAUUUUUUUUAGAACACCAAGUUGCAAAAUUAUCUCAAGACCCAGUGUUUAAGGUCA